GCACUUUGGCAGCACAUAUACUAAAACUGGAAUGAUGCAGAGAAGAUUAGCUGGGCCCUGUGCAAGGAUGACACUCUAAUUCAUGAAACAUUCCAUCUUUUU
rnacentral:snRNA from 1 species